rnacentral:lncRNA from 1 species
AGUUCAAUUUGGAAACAUGGGGAGCAAGGAACCUCCCCUGCCAUCCUGCUUUUGUAAAGCUGUAGAGGAAAAAGACAGUGACUGGGACAAAUGCUCUCCGGCUGCAAGCAAGCCAUCCCUCCAGCUCCUCAGUUGCUUUUAAACUUGAAUGAGAUACAUGAAAGAUAGAGAUGCAAUAAACAUGGGUCGUCAGCAUGAGCAGAGAACAGGAUUCUUUAUCUCAGGGCUUCUGAAACUGCUCCCAUUUGUUACUUCUUCCCACCUGAGAAAUGUUUAUGCCACCAAAUGUUCAUAGGCAUGUAAAACAAGCAUACAAAAUAAACAUUUGCUGGUAAUAAUUAUAAAGAUAUUUACUGUAAAGCAGUUCUGUAGUAUACAUAUAAUGUUACCAUUUAUUAAAGAUGAAAGCAAAUUUGCAUACUAAGAUGAAUAAGUAUUUAUUUUUAUAUAAAUAAGCCUUGGCUGAUUUAAAAAAUAUUAAUGUGUUUGUAUGUUGUACAUGUGUGAUAAAUAUGAUCAACUCAUAAACUGUGAGAAAAUUCUGUCUUAAUGUUGAGACAGGGUCUCUAAGGAUCCCUGGCUGUCCUAUGCAGACCAGGUUGGCAUCAAACUCACAACCUGCCUCUGCCUCCUGAGUGCUAAGAUUAAAGGUUUGCACCAGGCUAUUAACAUUUUUUAACAAUGUAACUCAAAACAGAAACUUAAGCAGAAAUUUCUAGAGUAAGAUAUUUUAGGGGCUAGGGAUGUAGCUUAGUUGGAAGAAUGCAUGCAAACCCCUGAGUUUGAUCCUCAGCACCUCCUAAAGUGGAAAAUAAUGGUGUAUGCCUGUAAUUCUAGUACUCAGAAGUCAGGGGCAGGUGGAUAAGAAGUUCAAUAUUAUCAUCAUCUCUGUAGCAAAUUCAAGGCCAGCCUCUGUUAUGUGAGACCUUCCCCCCACCUCAAAAUAAAUAAAACAUUUUAAUGCAACAAAUUUG